GCCCCCUGCCUGGUCGGACAGUCUGGUGCGCCAGUUGUGUUGGCAGAAGCAACGCACAUCAGGCUGAACGAGCCGGUAGGUGGCU
rnacentral:pre_miRNA from 1 species